GGCAUCCUGUUAAAAAACUGUCAGCUGUGAGCUCUUUAACAUUUUCUCUUCAGGCAUCCAUAAAUAUUCAGUGCUCUUGUACUGAAGGGCAGUUCUUUUAGACUUAAGGGUGUCUUGACAUCUUUAAAAUCUAAAAUCUGCCGAAAGUACUGGUGACCUUGUCACUUCCAGACCCGUGGAGAAAGGUAGAUGUUCAGUCCAAGGUCCUUGUUGCAGCAAACAUGGUUCCAGACUUAAUGGGGAAAGCACAAAGUAAAAGCAGGAACAAAAAUAUACUUUUCAUGGUCACAUUUGGGGUGUGACUGCAGGAACAUCUGAGCUGCCAUGAAAAGGCAGGAUCUGUCACACACUUUCUUCUCAUUUCCUCUUUCCUGCUGCCAGAUCUUCUGUCUUCUUUCCUGCUCUGCCUCCCCUUUGUAUUGAAGCUGUUGCUUAUCAGAGUGCUCUGGUCCUGCUUAGCUUGUUGAACUAAAUGGAAAACACUUCAUUAUCCCUUUUUUUGGAAGGAGAGAUGGAGGGGAAGGUUCAUUUUUUGCCAGGCUAGGGAGUUGUGCUGGCCCUCAGCAUCAUCUGAUGAGCUGGCAAAAUACAUACAACGUCAGCAUGUGACCAGAGAUGGCAAAAAGAGAAAAAUCUGGGGGUGUGGAAUGGGAAAUUUACUUUGUCCUGUGCAAUUUUAACUUCUGAUUUGUGGAUUUCUUCCCCUGAAACUGUAUUUACUGCUGUGAGAAUCCCUUGACUUGCACAGAGUGGAGCCUUGGACAAAAGGUUUCCCUGCACUCCUCUACGCCUCAGGAUAAAACAUGAAGUCUCCUUACAGAAGAGCAGAGAAGGAACAACGUUUGGGGAAUAAAAAGCAUUCCAUGGAAUCCCGGCCCUAACAAGCUGUAGGAGAUGUAAAACCCUCCAGGUCUUCUUUAUCCACAGACAAGAAUGUAGAGACAGCUACACUAAAUAUCCCACAGGGGCAUUUCUGCAGAAUAAAAGGAAAAAAGGAGCUGGAUGAGGAAUACCUCUGUGGAUGUGACACUAAGUGAAUUUUCCAGGGCAUCCCCCUCAAGAAGGGAUUUGAAAAUGGCUAUCUGGAUGUCAAGCGGUCAUGGUAAGCCUUGGAUUUGCCUUCCUUCUACCCAACAGCAUCAUCCAUGGUAGAAAUGAAACAU